CAUAAUAACAACCUUAUUUUUUUUACCGUGCCAACGUUUGACCAUUCAUCUUAUUUGAAAUUUUUUUGCGAUUAAUAUUUUUAUUAUUACUAGAUGAUAAAAUAUGAAUAGUACUUUAUACGUGACUAAUUUUUUAAAGUUUUUUACAUAUUUUUAAAAUAAGACGAAUGUCAAAUAUUAGACACGGAAAAAUGAAAAAAACGCUUAUU
rfam:Oryza brachyantha chromosome 3, whole genome shotgun sequence.